rnacentral:rRNA from 1 species
AGAGUUUGAUCCUGGCUCAGGACGAACGCUGGCGGCGUGCCUAACACAUGCAAGUCGAACGGGAUCCGCAAGGAUUCAGUGGCGAACGGGUGCGUAACACGUGAAGAAUUUGUCCAACGGCGGGGGAUAGCCGGCCCAACGGCCGGGUAAUACCGCGUACGACCUUCGAGGGGCAUCCCUCUUUGGUGAAAGCCGCAAGGCGCCGAUGGAGAACUUCGCGGCCUAUCAGCUAGUUGGUGAGGUCAUGGCUCACCAAAGCGACGACGGGUAGCUGGUCCGAGAGGAUGACCAGCCACAUUGGGACUGAGACACGGCCCAGACUCCUACGGGAGGCAGCAGUGGGGAAUAUUGCGCAAUGGGCGAAAGCCUGACGCAGCGACGCCGCGUGUGGGAUGACGGCCUUCGGGUUGUAAACCACUGUCGGGAGGGACGAAGCUCUGACGGUACCUCCAAAGGAAGCACCGGCUAACUCUGUGCCAGCAGCCGCGGUAAUACAGAGGGUGCGAGCGUUGUCCGGAAUCACUGGGCGUAAAGGGCGCGUAGGUGGCCUGGUAAGUAGGGGGUGAAAUCUCGCGGCUCAACCGCGAGGCUGCCUCCUAAACUGUCAGGCUUGAGCAGAGUAGAGGC